rnacentral:misc_RNA from 1 species
AAAAUAAAAAAAAUAAUAAAAAAAUAGUAAAAAAAAAAAAUCUCGGAGAGAACGAAUGUUGAAGUUGGAGCACAGAGAAGAGAAGAGAUUUGGUAGCAGGCCGCGCAAAGAUCGCCAGAUAUUCUACGUGUUAGCUAUUUGUUGCCGUUGAAAAUGGCUUUAUGACCGGCGAAGGACAUUGAUACUUCCUUGUUAAAAUUGUCUUUUUUUUUAUUUAAUUUUAUUAAAAAAA